rnacentral:rRNA from 1 species
AUCCAGACUCCUACGGGAGGCAGCAGUGGGGAAUAUUGCACAAUGGGGGAAACCCUGAUGCAGCGACGCCGCGUGAAGGAAGAAGUAUUUCGGUAUGUAAACUUCUAUCAGCAGGGAAGAAAAUGACGGUACCUGACUAAGAAGCCCCGGCUAACUACGUGCCAGCAGCCGCGGUAAUACGUAGGGGGCAAGCGUUAUCCGGAUUUACUGGGUGUAAAGGGAGCGUAGGCGGUUUAGCAAGUCAGAAGUGAAGGCCCGGGGCUCAACUCCGGGACUGCUUUUGAAACUGUUAAGCUGGAGUACUGGAGAGGCAAGCGGAAUUCCUAGUGUAGCGGUGAAAUGCGUAGAUAUUAGGAGGAACACCAGUGGCGAAGGCGGCUUGCUGGACAGAGACUGACGUUGAGGCUCGAAAGCGUGGGGAGCAAACAGGAUUAGAUACCCGUGUAAU